rnacentral:rRNA from 1 species
AGAGUUUGAUCCUGGCUCAGGACGAACGCUGGCGGCGUGCUUAACACAUGCAAGUCGAGCGGAAAGGCCCUUCGGGGUACUCGAGCGGCGAACGGGUGAGUAACACGUGAGCAACCUGCCCCUGGCUCUGGGAUAGCCUCCGGAAACGGGGAUUAAUACCGGACAUGACCUCGGAAGGCAUCUUCUGGGGUGGAAAGUUU